UACGGGAGGCAGCAGUGGGGAAUAUUGCACAAUGGGCGCAAGCCUGAUGCAGCCAUGCCGCGUGUAUGAAGAAGGCCUUCGGGUUGUAAAGUACUUUCAGUCGUGAGGAAGGUGUUAAGGUUAAUAACCUUAGCAAUUGACGUUAGCGACAGAAGAAGCACCGGCUAACUCCGUGCCAGCAGCCGCGGUAAUACGGAGGGUGCGAGCGUUAAUCGGAAUUACUGGGCGUAAAGGGCACGCAGGCGGUUAAUUAAGUUGGAUGUGAAAUCCCCGGGCUUAACCUGGGAAUGGCAUUCAAGACUGGUUAGCUAGAGUCUUGUAGAGGGGGUAGAAUUCCAUGUGUAGCGGUGAAAUGCGUAGAGAUGUGGAGGAAUACCGGUGGCGAAGGCGGCCCCUGGGACAAAGACUGACGCUCAUGUGCGAAAGCGUGGGGAGCAAACGAGGGAUUAGAU
rnacentral:rRNA from 1 species